UUUUCAUAUUUAUUUUAAUCUCAAUUUCUUACUUACUUAUAAUAUUUUUCUUAUGAAUCAAAUAAAGGGGUUAAGAAACCAUUGUUCAAAUUGUCUUCAAUUUUUUAAAAUAUUAUAGCGAUUUUUUACACAAACUCCACUACUCUUAUCCUACCCAAAUUUAAAAGUGGAAGCGCGGUGCGUUGUGAAACCGAUCAAAUCAGAUCUUUCCUUUUAUAUUUAAAAACAAAAAAAGGAAAAAGAGCUGAAACUGGAGACGAAUGCGGUUAUUGUUCUAGGUGGGUAGUGGAGAAAGUGGGAAUGAAUUGAUGACCC